UCACUAUAGCUCAGUCUGGUAGAGCACUGGAUCUGGUAUCUGGUUGUCGCCGGUUCAACUCCGGCUAGUGAACUA
rnacentral:tRNA from 1 species